rnacentral:rRNA from 1 species
CUCCUACGGGAGGCAGCAGUGAGGAAUAUUGGACAAUGGGCGGGAGCCUGAUCCAGCCAUGCCGCGUGCAGGAAGACUGCCCUAUGGGUUGUAAACUGCUUUUUUACGGGAAGAAACACCCCCACGUGUGGGGGCUUGACGGUACCGUACGAAUAAGGACCGGCUAACUCCGUGCCAGCAGCCGCGGUAAUACGGAGGGUCCGAGCGUUAUCCGGAAUCAUUGGGUUUAAAGGGUCCGUAGGCGGGCGUCUAAGUCAGUGGUGAAAUCUCGCGGCUCAACCGUGAAAUUGCCAUUGAUACUGGUCGCCUUGAAUUAGUGUGAAGUGGCUAGAAUAUGUAGUGUAGCGGUGAAAUGCUUAGAUAUUACAUAGAAUACCGAUUGCGAAGGCAGGUCACUAACACUAUAUUGACGCUGAUGGACGAAAGCGUGGGGAGCGAACAGGAUUAGAUACCCUGGUAGUCCACGCCGUAAACGAUGGAUACUAGCUGUCCGGCCUGCAUUGGUAGGCUGGGUGGCCAAGCGAAAGUGAUAAGUAUCCCACCUGGGGAGUACGUUCGCAAGAAUGAAACUCAAAGGAAUUGACGGGGGCCCGCACAAGCGGUGGAGCAUGUGGUUUAAUUCGAUGAUACGCGAGGAACCUUACCAGGGCUUAAAUGUAGUCUGACAGGGGUGGAAACACCCCCUUCUUCGGACAGACUGCAAGGUGCUGCAUGGUUGUCGUCAGCUCGUGCCGUGAGGUGUCAGGUUAAGUCCUAUAACGAGCGCAACCCCUGUCGUUAGUUGCCAGCAUGUAAAGAUGGGAACUCUAACGAGACUGCCGGUGCAAACCGUGAGGAAGGUGGGGAUGACGUCAAAUCAUCACGGCCCUUACGUCCUGGGCCACACACGUGCUACAAUGGCAGGUACAAUGGGCAGCCACGCCGCAAGGCGGAGCGAAUCCACAAAACCUGUCUCAGUUCGGAUCGGGGUCUGCAACUCGACCCCGUGAAGCUGGAAUCGCUAGUAAUCGGAUACCAGCCAUGAUCCGGUGAAUACGUUCCCGGGCCUUGUACACACCGCCCGUC